rnacentral:rRNA from 1 species
AUUGAACGCUGGCGGCAUGCUUUACACAUGCAAGUCGAACGGUAACAGGCCUUCGGGUGCUGACGAUUGGCGAACGGGUGGGUAAUGCAUCUGAACGUACCCUGAGGUGGGGGCUAAUGCAGCGUAAGCUGUGCUAAUACUGCAUGUGAUCUGAGGAUGAAAGCGGGGGACCGGGCAGCACUGUUUGGCCUCGCGCCUUUGGAGGGGCCGAUGUCGGAUUCGCUAGUUGGUGGGGUAAAGGCCUACCAAGGCGACGAUCCGUCGCUGGUCUGAGAGGACGGCGAGCCACACUGGGACGGAGGCAAGGCCGAGACGCCUACGGGAGGAAGCAGUGGGGAAUAUUGGACAAUGGGGGCGAGCCUGAUCCAGCAAUGCCGCGGGGGGGAAGAAGGACUUCGGGUUGUAGACAGCUUCUGGCAGGAGCGAAGCGGUGUCCGCUAAUACCGGGCGGUAAUGACGGUACCUGCAGAAUAAGCACCGGCUAACUACGUG